GGGGAAUAUUGCACAAUGGGGGAAACCCUGAUGCAGCGACGCCGCGUGAGGGAAGAAGGUUUUCGGAUUGUAAACCUCUGUCUUCGGGGACGAAUGAUGACGGUACCCGAGGAGGAAGCCACGGCUAACUACGUGCCAGCAGCCGCGGUAAAACGUAGGUGGCAAGCGUUGUCCGGAAUUACUGGGUGUAAAGGGAGCGCAGGUGGCUCUGCAAGUCGAAUGUGAAAUCCACGGGCUCAACCCGUGAAUUGCGUUCGAUACUGUGGAGCUUGAGUGGAGUAGAGGCAGGCGGAAUUCCCGGUGUAGCGGUGGAAUGCGUAGAUAUCGGGAGGAACACCAGUGGCGAAGGCGGCCUGCUGGGCUCUAACUGACACUGAGGCUCGAAAGCGUGGGUAGCAAAC
rnacentral:rRNA from 1 species